rnacentral:rRNA from 1 species
CGCCUUCCCAUCCCGAACAGGACCGUGAAACGCCUUAGCGCCGAUGAUAGUGUGGCAUUCGCCAUGUGAAAGUAGGACACCGCCAGAC